rnacentral:rRNA from 1 species
AGCCAGACUCCUACGGGAGGCAGCAGUGAGGCCUCUUGGUCAAUGGCCGCCAGUCUGACCCCGCCAUGCCGCGUGCCGGAAGACGGCUCUCUGAGUUGUACCCUGCUUUUGUACGAGGGUCAACGCAGCUCCGUGUAUCUGUCUGAAAGUAUCGUACGAAUAAGGAUCGGCUCACUCCGUGCCAGCAGCCGCGGUAAUACGGAGGAUUCAAGCGUUAUCCGGAUUUAUUGGGUUUAAAGGGUGCGUAGGCGGUCGGAUAAGUGAGAGGUGAAAUCCCGAGGCUCAACUUCGGAAUUGCCUCUGAUACUGUUCGGCUAGAGAGUAGUUGCGGUAGGCGGAAUGUAUGGUGUAGCGGUGAAAUGCUGAGAGAUCAUACAGAACACCGAUUGCGAAGGCAGCUUACCAAGCUACUUCUGACGUUGAGGCACGAAAGCGUGGGGAGCAAACAGGAUUAGAUACCCGCGUAAA